CAAUUGCGCUCAGUUAUAUGUGGGUGCUUGGUGGUACAAAAGCUGUCAUGCCUGUAAUCUAAAUGGCGAGUAUUUAAGGGGCUCAACCACACUCUAUGGUAGAGGAGUUAUUUGGAAUGCAUUUCGGGCCCUUUAUUAUUCUUUGAAAUUUGUUGAAUUGUCCAUACGUCCUAAAUUAUUUUAAUGCUUAUUAAUUGAACGGCAAUAUUAAUAAAAUGCUACUAUCUUGCAUGCAAUUAAA